UGGUGGAGCGAUUUGUCUGGUCAAUUCCGAUAACGAACUAGACUCUAGCCUACUAAAUAGUUCGGGGACUCCACAAAGGUUCCCCACUUCAACUUAUUAGAGGGACAGGUAGUGUUUAGCCGCAAGAGAUUGAGCAACAACA
rnacentral:rRNA from 1 species